GUGCUUAACACAUGCAAGUCGAACGAUGAACCACUUCGGUGGGGAUUAGUGGCGAACGGGUGAGUAACACGUGGGCAAUCUGCCCUGCACUCUGGGACAAGCCCUGGAAACGGGGUCUAAUACCGGAUACUGACCCGCUUGGGCAUCCAAGCGGUUCGAAAGCUCCGGCGGUGCAGGAUGAGCCCGCGGCCUAUCAGCUUGUUGGUGAGGUAAUGGCUCACCAAGGCGACGACGGGUAGCCGGCCUGAGAGGGCGACCGGCCACACUGGGACUGAGACACGGCCCAGACUCCUACGGGAGGCAGCAGUGGGGAAUAUUGCACAAUGGGCGAAAGCCUGAUGCAGCGACGCCGCGUGAGGGAUGACGGCCUUCGGGUUGUAAACCUCUUUCAGCAGGGAAGAAGCGAAAGUGACGGUACCUGCAGAAGAAGCGCCGGCUAACUACGUGCCAGCAGCCGCGGUAAUACGUAGGGCGCGAGCGUUGUCCGGAAUUAUUGGGCGUAAAGAGCUCGUAGGCGGCUUGUCACGUCGGUUGUGAAAGCCCGGGGCUUAACCCCGGGUCUGCAGUCGAUACGGGCAGGCUAGAGUUCGGUAGGGGAGAUCGGAAUUCCUGGUGUAGCGGUGAAAUGCGCAGAUAUCAGGAGGAACACCGGUGGCGAAGGCGGAUCUCUGGGCCGAUACUGACGCUGAGGAGCGAAAGCGUGGGGAGCGAACAGGAUUAGAUACCCUGGUAGUCCACGCCGUAAACGGUGGGCACUAGGUGUGGGCGACAUUCCACGUCGUCCGUGCCGCAGCUAACGCA
rnacentral:rRNA from 1 species